rnacentral:rRNA from 1 species
GAGGUUAAGCGACUAAGCGUACACGGUGGAUGCCCUGGCAGUCAGAGGCGAUGAAGGACGUGCUAAUCUGCGAUAAGCGCCGGUAAGGUGAUAUGAACCGUUAUAACCGGCGAUUUCCGAAUGGGGAAACCCAGUGUGACUCGUCACACUAUCAUUAACUGAAUCCAUAGGUUAAUGAGGCGAACCGGGGGAACUGAAACAUCUAAGUACCCCGAGGAAAAGAAAUCAACCGAGAUUCCCCCAGUAGCGGCGAGCGAACGGGGAGGAGCCCAGAGCCUGAAUCAGCAUGUGUGUUAGUGGAAGCGUCUGGAAAGGCGCGCGAUACAGGGUGACAGCCCCGUACACAAAAGCGCAUGUGCUGUGAGCUCGAUGAGUAGGGCGGGACACGUGGUAUCCUGUCUGAAUAUGGGGGGACCAUCCUCCAAGGCUAAAUACUCCUGACUGACCGAUAGUGAACCAGUACCGUGAGGGAAAGGCGAAAAGAACCCCGGCGAGGGGAGUGAAAAAGAACCUGAAACCGUGU